CUGUUUUGAGUCCCUUUUUUAUUUUAAGCCUGUUUGUUUUAGGCUUUCUUUUUACAAAUAUUACCUGUUACUACUACUACAAACAGACAAAAUCAGUGUCGGUAGCAGCAAGACAACAGAUGAAGGUCCCAUAAAAAACAUGGGCAUCUUCCUUUUCUGUCAGCAUAUGGGUAUCUUCUGUCACCACAUGGGCAUCUUCCUUUUCUGUCACCACCUAAUCAUGGCAGACAACACCACAUGGGUUCACAUGGGUACUGAUGGAAUUUCCAAGCUCUUCCAACCAGGCAUUUUGACUUCUUCCAUGCCAACUCGUCUAUAAAAGGGGACUCCAAAUUCUUCAGAAGGCAGACUAUCAUUUUUC
rnacentral:lncRNA from 1 species